UAUAAUGAUAGAGAAUGAUUAGAUUUCAUGAUUUGUUUCCAUUAUUUUCUUAUGUGCAAUUGUGUGAUUAUGUGAAGUUACAUGUAUUGCUCAGACUUUCAGCUCAUAUUUACAAUAAAAGAUUAUUAGUUUCUUGAAGUGUCGUGAUUUCUUGUUUAUGUGCAAUUGCUUGUAUGGCUCAGACUUUCCAUUCAUAUUCAGACAAAUGUGAUCACAUUCAGAAAGGGAGAAGCAGCCAACCUUCCCCAGUAUGAGUGCCAAUAUAGCCAGGGUUAGCUGCCCCAUGCUUGCAGGCUUUGAGUUUGCAGGUGACGAAGCUUGUGAUUAGAGACGGGUUCAAUUAACUCAGUGGCAAGCCGUGAUUGUUUUCAAUGGUGUCAAUAUUACUUUCAUACCUCUAGCUAUUGUUAGAUGCUUAUAAAAUUUAGGGGAAUGCCCCAAGAUUUAUGUAUUCAGACAUCAUUUAGAGGCUUAUAACUUUGCUAGUGCGCUUAGUCGUCAGACAUGUUGAGUUUUAUGUUAUGAUUAAGUUUUCAGACAGUUAUUGUCUUAUGAUUUAUUUGUGA